rnacentral:rRNA from 1 species
AUGGGUCACCCAUGUGAUGCAGAUGGUGUCCUACGCCGCACCGCGGUUAACAUUAAUGGGGAGAUUGGCCACUUCUUCCCCACCCUAUGUGGGGUGAGACAGGGCGACCCCUUUUCCCCGUUUCUAUUCAACAUGGUGGUCGACGCACUUGCUGCCAUCCUCGACAAGGUUAAGGCCGCGGGACACAUCCAUGUCAUAGUUCCCCAUCUCGUUGGCUUAGGUGGAGUAUCAACAUUGCAGUACGCCAAUGACACCAUUAUCAUGGUGUUCGGCGGCUCGGAGGACAUCACGAACCUAAAGUUCCUCCUGCUAUGUUUCCAACAGAUGUCGAGCCUCAUGAUCAACUUUGACAAGAGCACAGUGAUGGUGAUGAGAUACUCGCCUACCGAUUCUUAG